UACGUAGGGCGCAAGCGUUGUCCGGAAUUAUUGGGCGUAAAGAGCUCGUAGGCGGCCAGUUGCGUCCGCUGUGAAAUCCCGGGGCUUAACCCCGGGCGUGCAGUGGAUACGGGCUGGCUAGAGGCAGGCAGGGGAGAACGGAAUUCCCGGUGUAGCGGUGAAAUGCGCAGAUAUCAGGAGGAACACCGAUGGCGAAGGCAGCCCCCUGGGUCAAGACUGACGCUCAUGCACGAAAGCGUGGGGAGCAAACAGG
rnacentral:rRNA from 1 species